rnacentral:lncRNA from 1 species
CGGAACUUAUGCCAGAAAUGUAAAAGAUCAGCAUCACGCUGGUUGACAGAUUUGGGUGAUUUAUAUAUCGAGUUUUCUUCAGUAAAAGUGAAGUUUUCAUUUGCUGGAUUGGUGCCCAUAUAUAAGUAGAGGCUAUCUUGGCUAAGUGGUAAGUCACCAUAUUGCAUCACAUGGGAUCCAUAAUAAGAGUUGUCACUUGAUGUUCUUUCUUUAACCUAAAAUAAAUAAAUAAAAAUGAAUCAUGUGUAAAAAAAAAGUUUACCAAAGUGUAUAAAUUAGUAAAAUAACUUUACCAAUUUAUAUUGCUGUCUGAUAGUUUCUGUUCGCAGAUUGUGUACAUCACUGUAAGCAACAAGAGAGAUAGAAAGAAUUAGUUUUCUUUUAGUAAAAAGGGUAUAACUGUAAAUUUUAAAAACAUACCAAUCUUCCAUCCAGGCAACACUGUACAGGUCACCAAGACACGUGUCAUACUCUAGAGGUGGGCUAGGGUACUCCCCAGGACAGUAGGUACCCCAGCUGCUUUCAUCAGGGCCAGAGGCUGUGGUUGCAUAGAUAUUUAAACCUUGUGGAAGAAGACCCUCGAAUAUACUUCCAGCCUCACAAGCUUCAAGGUAAAACACCUGAACAUUUUUAAAAAAUCAGGAUUAAUAUCUAUCAAGUAUAUAUAUUUAUACAUAAUAUGAAAACAAGUUUUUUAAAAAAUUACCAAGCUUUUGUAUGUUCCAGACGCAUGCUUUUGUUUCAAGACCUCGUUAAGAUCAUUUGCAUACAUGUAAGGAUUUGUUGGCAUCCCUGAGAAAGAAUACAAAAUAAUUUAAUUUUACCUUUAUGCCCUUCUUUUAGCCUCUAUGAAAAAAUGGUUGUUAGGGUAAAUAGUAACUUACCAAGAACACCAGGACCACCAUGAUCGGUGUAGUAAACAAAAAUGCGAUCAUUUGGACCGCUAUCUACAACCUUUCCACUUCCACCUUUGACUUUGGAUUUAUCACCGAGUAAAACAGCAAAAAAGUUGUCAACAUUCACAUCUUUCCCAGUGUAAUCCUGUUUCAUUUUAGUUUUUCAAUUAUAUUAUGAUCUCAUAAUAUAUAUGAUAUUGUGAAUGGAUGAUGAUAAAAAAAAAAAAAAAAAAAAAAAAAAAAAAAACAAACCUUGGGUACUCCAUGAUAAACGUCAUCACCAUCUGGGCUGUUGAUUAUGACACCUUGUCUGGGAUUCUCUCUAUUAUAUGCAAUGUCGUCAUACAUGAAAACAACAAUGUUUUCUUCCUUCACACCACCGUUUCUUAAGAUUUGAUAUGCAUGACAUACAUCUGCCUGGAGUCAUUAACAUAAAUAGAAAAGAUUUAAAUACAAGUGAGGCUUGUAAUUUCUCAAGGACAAAUAUAGAAAAGUGAAAGCUUCAAUGAGGUCAUCCUAUUGCAUACAGUAACAAACUAACUUUCUUGAACCACAUACAAACAAGGGAAAAGUUUAGUUGAUCUUGUAUAAAAGUUGACUUCAUACACUAAGAAGCUUGUUGAAAGCAAAAUAAGGAGGUUUUUAUUUCUUAGAUUAAAUGAGCAAAUGGAUCUCAAGAUUUGAUGAUUUUUAUCUGGGAAUUUGUUUUUUUGUAUAGCUUCCAUAAUUCCUAAAAGGUAAGGUUCCAUGAUCAAACCAUGUUUAAAUUUAUAUAAAGACAAGCAACUUGCUAGCAUAGAGACAGAGUUCAAAUAAUUACUUACCGGAAUCCACAAAAACUUUUCAAAUGUUCAAUCAAACAAAAUACAUAAUCGGACAAAAGUAAGCAGUAAAUAACUUGUUAAAAAUCAAUCAUUAUGAAUCCCCUAACCUUGCUCAAGCACAGUUCCUGCUGACCCCAGACAAAAUUUUGACUGAAUAUUCCUUUAACACGUUACUUUUCUAAGUCGAAUUGAAUGCUUUAUGCUCCCCAAGGAAAAAAUUGAUAUCUAUAUGGAUUCAGUAACAAAUCUAACAGAAUCAUCAUCCUUAUGUUAGAUAUAAUUAGAAAAUUUUCUGAUUAAAUUUGAAGAAUUAAAGUUUGUGGCUCUUCUGGAACAGGUAGAGUAAGUAACGACGACGACAAACUGAUCGUAAUUCGUAACCUAUCAAGGAAAAACUAAAAAUGCAAAAUUCAAGCAUUUAAUAUCCUGUUUACUACGAUUACCUGA